rnacentral:lncRNA from 1 species
AGAUCACCUGGCCCCGAACUUACGACAAUGGCCCCCUUAAACCUCCCACCUCUGGGCAGCAAGAGGCCAGGCAAGCUGUGUCGGGGUCCUGACUGGGAUGCUGUGAACCUGGGGAGCCCGAGCAGGUAAUACACCGGCGCACACGGAGGAGGCUUGGCCCCCAGUUCCCCCGGCUUUCCCCGGGUACCAGCCGUGGACCCGGCUGUAGUGCCACUCACCUCCGUCCGCUCCCGCCGAGGCUGUCGCGCCCUCCUUCGCCCCGCGCCGAGGACCCCCUAACUUCGCCCCCUUCUCCAAACAGCCAUCUUUCGCGGAGAAGAGAAUGGUGAGGCAGAAGCAGAGGGGGAAUUGAAAGUUGAUUCGGGGACCUCCGCUGCUCUGCCAGCAGGGACUUGCCAGCCGCGGUAGGCGCCUGAAGAGAAGACCGCGGCGAGGACGGCGGGCGCGGCGGGGCAGGCUGGGUGCGCGCUACGCUAUGUGCGGGACGCGCCGCCGCCGCCUCCGCGGCCGCCGCACGGGAGGGGGAACUCGGGAGGGCGGCCGAGUGGCUGCGAGCUGCGAGCUGAGCCCCUGGCGGCGCGCUGAGGAUUUGCUAAAAAUAGCUCCUCUUUGGGAGGGGGUGGAGGAUGGAGGUUUUAACGACAAAAUGGGAAACGCGAGGAAAUAUGGUGACUGCUAUUGGGAACAUAAAUUAGGUUUGUCAUGUUUUAAGGCUGAACAGAGAGCACCAUCCACUCUGAAACCAACUCUGAGAGAAGGCAUGUUGAAUUAGUAAGUUCAAGAAUUGAUGAUGUGACCCCCUUCAGUGUAGUAUUUUCAAUUUGUGGACUUUAUUUUUAACUUGUAUAAUUUAGUACAUACCUAUCACUAAUACCUAUGGAAUCCUUUAUAAAGCAUAGAACACUGAUUAGAUGUUUUUAAAAAUAUAAUCCUAAACAUACUUAUUUCAUGCCAACAUGUGAUCACUAGAAGUGGCUAUAUUAAUAAUGUAUGUACCCCGUGUCUAAUUUGACCUUCACAUGAAAUAAAGCUAGUGUCUCUAUAUGUGCA